rnacentral:rRNA from 1 species
GAGAAGACUUUAGAUAUGAUCCAGAGUACCACGGGACACGUGAAACCCUGUGGGAAGCAGGAGGGACCACCCUCCAAGGCUAAAUACUACCUAGUGACCGAUAGCGUAUAGUACCGUGAGGGAAAGGCGAAAAGAACCCCGGGAGGGGAGUGAAAUAGAACCUGAAACCCUGCACUUACAAGCUGUGGAAGCACAUUUCUUGUGUGACCGCGUACUUUUUGUAGAAC